rnacentral:snoRNA from 1 species
GCCGAUGAUGAAUGAUGGGCGAACUGAACAAUGAUGAAUGGGGAGAGGCUGAGG